rnacentral:lncRNA from 1 species
GGUUCGCGGAGGGGCCCCAAGGACGCGCCGCCGGCUUCGCCACGCCGAGCGCCCGGCCCGGACCCUGUUCCCUAAAGAUCAGGACGGAUGGGGAAAAGCGCCCUUCUUAGGUGAAAGCAUCAGCUCGUUUCUACGUGUCAGCACUGGGAGAAGAUGUGGGGUCAGUGUCUUCACCAGGGAGCUGGUGCGAGGAUCAGCCCGUGAGAUGACAGACUCGGCGCCCUGCCAGAUGCUGUAAAGCGUGGAACUGUGUCAUCGAUGGUUAAGGAGAAAACAGGGUUUUGCAAAGGCACAACUAGAAGGAUGAAGGUGGCUGAAUAUUUGUCUUCUGAGUGAUACGGACUUUCCUUGAAGAAUGGCGCAUUUACGAGUGUCAGCCUGCCACCCGUUACUGCGAUUAGGUUCUUCAGCAACCGAGGAGGAAUGAGGAGGACUCAGACGGAUUUCGAAGAAUGGCAUGACUAAUGUACAAACAAGAGUGAAAGGGAGUGUUGGAAAAACUCAGGGACACUGAAGACUGAAGUGGGUUGAAAACAAAUCAGAACGUGAGUUCUCCCACUUGAGUGCGAGCAGAAUUUGUUUUUCAGAAGUAAUUUUUAAGGAUUCACUUGGAGAAGGAAGAGGGAUUUUCCUUUACGCUUUUGGAUCGGAUGGCUCUGUGUUGCGAACGGUUUUCUCGCGGCCUUCAAGAAUUUGUUUGGUACCCACUUGUUCAAAACCCAAGGGCAAACAGCCAAGUCCCCUUAAAGCUGUCCGCCCGGGACUACGGGAGUCAGUUUGAAACGUCUUCGUUUUAAGAAGGUGGCAGAAUUACAUAAUUAUUCACAGCUCAUAAGAAAUUAAAAUACCUCUUCCAAAUAUGAAGUCGCGAGAUAACACAAACCACAAGUCCUAGACUCUCGGAGGGCGUGUGCCUCGUUUGUGCUCCCACACACAAACCCACAGCCGACCGUCUGCGCUGAGAGCACGUGGCCCCACUGAGAGCACGUGGCCACGCUGACCUCGCUUCCCUCGUGUUCCUCCGCACACAGCAGGGCUCUUGCCCAGGGCCUCCCUUGGCGACGCCGAGGGACCGAAGAUGCCAAAUGCUGGAGAGGCGGGAGGUCACCACAAGGCACCUGGGACCACAGACGCACUCUCUUCCACUCAUGGCCAGGGUGCACGAGGUGAGGAACCACCGAGAAAGUCCUAACACCAGGGCUCAGGGAGAUGGGUGGGGUGGAGGGGCGCUGGAGGAACCGUCACAUGGGCCCCAGCAUAACUUUAAAAAUCCCAGCACCUCAUUUAACCAGAUUCAUUCUGCAAGCUGAUUAUUGCCUUUGGUGGAUACCGUGUCACGCAGUCUCAUUUUAAGGAUCUGCCUUGCAUCUGUCCAGGACGGGGAACCCCAGGGUUCCAAGGCAAAGCAGCUGGGUUCUUGCCUGCAAGGGGCUUAUCUCACUAGCUGGGCGGUCAGACGCAUGAACCACCAGGAGCUGGGCUGGUACAGUGCCCGGUGGUCAGGAAAGAACGUGCAGGGAGGGCAGGGGCCGGAAGCACCAGGGGUUUGAGCCCUGCAGUGUGCAGCGUGUGUGAGCCGAGACUAGAGGACCUGGGAGAACUUCCUGUUUGGUAAAAGGCACGGAGGGUGUAGGGCUGCAGAGGUGGGGGGACCUGGUGACUUUGGCGGGCUUUGUGUGCUGUCUUGAGGGGUUGGGACUGCCCAGGGGGUCCUGGUGACCAUUGCCAAAGCAAGGUAUGGGUGACAGAAGCCUUGCUGUGUUGGGCAGAGGAGUGAGGGGUAGAUUUUUGAGGAUGGUGGCUGUGACUUCUGCCUCCUGGAGUCACCCGUAGUGCCCACAGUGAGUCCCCAACGAAUUGGAAGUACCUUCUUCUAUGUCCAUAGACUUUCAUGAGCAGUGCUCUGAAAACCAACCUUAUCUUAACUCAGUUUUAGUGGCACAUAAUCUUAACUUGGGAAGUAGGCUUAUGAACUCGACCAAAAAGGAGCAAGGGACCAACCCCAGAGCUAUCCAACCUGCUUUUCCUUCUAUAGGGGAAGGGGCUUCAUAGCAUCAUCCCCCGCCACUGCCCCUCUCCCCGAAAGCAUCUUAGCUUUGAGUUGCAUGUUAACUGCCUAGGACACAAAAUUCGAGCAACAGUUCCCACCACACUCCACCAAAUACCUACCGUCCACCAGAAGCCCACAGUGUGUGGCUGCAGCCCUUCGGGAGCUCAUGGUCUAGAUUGUUUGCUCAAUGUGGCGGAAACUGGACAAGAUUGGAGUUCUGAAGAGAUGAUACUCACAGACGAGGAAUGUCCGUACCAUCCUGUUUGUGUUUGGAAAUUUUUUAAGAGACCAGAGAACUAAGGGGACAGGCCACAAUACAACAGUUAUUCUAAGCACAGGGGACCAGCCUCGGCACUCCCACCUGCGGAAAAUUAACUAGCCACUGCCAGUAACUCCGACAGUGAAGGGGUUAAAAUAACAAAUAAAUGACUUUAUUUAGACUUGAGCAUUUCUGGCAUUUUUUCUAGAUUUUUUUUUCCCCCACAGUAUUUGAUGUGACAGCUUUUGUUUGCUCACACUUGUCUCUCUUUUAAAUUUCUCAUAUCAGCGGUAAAAGCUAUUUCUUUUUCCUGUAACAUCUUGAGCUUGGUAUCCAAUGAAGGGAGAAAUUGCUCUUGCAUUACUUGAAAUUAUGUUAUACCUAAUUUUGGGGGGGGGGGAGAAGGAUUAGAGUAAUUUAGAUCUCCAGGCACUGAAGGUUUUGCAGACGGGUCAUUUGCAGCAUUAUUGCUGAUUAGUCAUCCAUAAAAGUGUUUUUGCUGCGGGGGAGGUGCCGCCAUUUCUUGUAUUCUUUAGAAACGCGCAUUUGGAGGCCCCUCCAGCCAAGGGAAGGACAAUCAGCCAUUCCGAGGCCACCGUCUGGCCUUGACGGGGCUCUCGUUCGCAGUGGAGAGCCUCUCCGCAGGGAGGACGGGAACAGGCGGAGGGAGAGCCGGGCGUCCUCGCCUCCGAGCAUCUCCAUCGAGAGCAUCACCCUUGGAAGGCUUGCCAUUUCGAAUGCGCAUGCGCGCUGCAGCGCCCGCCGGCCUCUCGAGUGGGCGGCGGGCCUCAGGCACCUGUGAUUUCCCGGGAGGGGUCUGUCUUUCUGGACUUGGCGUUUGUAGACCAGGAGCAAACCGGCGUUUGUUGGCUAACGGUGUAAAAGCAAUUUUGGAAAGAAAUGUUGUUUCCUGACGCUUCCUCUUGGGAGGGAGACUCUGUCAUCUUUUCCAGUUUCUCCCCAUCCCGGGGGUCCCUGCCGGACGCCACCAUCUCCCAAAGGAAUUCACUGAGGGGGUCAAGCUUUGGGCCACCGAUACCUGAGCGGGCGGCCCCAGAGUUCGUGUCCGUGGCCAAGGGGAAAGCUUGUCCCCCCCCCGGCCCCCGCCGUCGUUGGCGGCUGCGGAGCCGGCGAAGUGCUUUGUGUAAAUUUCUGGGUAGCGGGGCCGAUCAUUCGAUCCGCGCAGUCUCAAGCGGCUGGUAUUUCCCAAACUCUUCUGUGUAUAUCGUUGGAAGCACAGCACCACCACUCUAAAGAAGGACACUGAGGAGCCAAAUGCCAGUGGAAUUCUGUAAUGUGGGCUGCAGUAUAAACUGUGGCAGGGUUGAACUGAGGACGCUUCUAGAAAAACCUGUAAGUAAUUAAAUUCUCCCUCCAGCAAGGUAAAAGCUGAGUCUGAGGUCUGUUAGCACAAAGAAGAGUGAAACUUUUGUGGAUGGUUAUAUAUAUAUUUUUUUUCUUUUUUAAUGUAAAUAAAUAAAGAUUUCUGGCAAGCCCCCAAGCCCUCAGAUCUCAUUACGGACCUAAGGAGCAGGAAAGGAAAGACACAGCCAUUGUUGGUUGCGUGUUUUACAUUGCUGAGGUCAGGACAAAGCAUAGAUUACCCUGUUUCAGCAACUCCCAAACCAUGUUCCAGGGAAUAUAAGAUAUUUCCUGGGGAGGAGGGGAAAAAGAUUUCAUGGCCAACUCGGGUUCAGAAAGCUUGCAUGUAAUUUCCCCUCCUCUGGAGACCCACGAUGCUCUGAACAGGCCGUGAAAAGGAUGCGUCUGCCAGCACGCUCAUGGGGCAUGAGCACAGACUCAUUUUUCACCGGGCACCUGCUGGCAUCCUGGGGGAAGGUCUGCUUACUCCACCCACAGUGGAAACACUAGCAAUCGAUCUGCCUUGUCUGGCCUCGUCUGUACCUGCUCUGUGGGGCUUUAUUCACCUCGAUGGGGUUGUACAGGCUGUUGUGAUGCGUGUAUCUGGGCUUUUAGGACAGGCGGCGUGCUCCUGGAGGACGGACACUCUUCCUGUCUCAGCUCUGAAUCCCAAGUGCCUGCUGCAAGGGCGGGGGGGGGGGGGAGUGAUUGAUUCCUGCUUGUUGAGACUACCCCAUGGGGGCUCACGGUUGGACCCGGGCACACCGGGGACCUGCCAACACUGACGAGGGUUAGAGGCGGGGAGACGAUGGGAAGAAAGAUUAGCAGAGCUAGUCCAGUUCAGCUGCUCCCUCUCCCUGCCUUCCAUUUCCUUGGUGGAACAACCGUCCCUUCGUCGGGCUCUUGGCCUCGCUGUGCACUUACAGGGAUAAGGGCAGAAGGAAAACAUUUCAUUGUGAAAGGAGGGAAAGAAACCAGCAGGUGGACCGAGGGAGGCUCAGAGCAGGCAGAGAUUCAGUGACCCGGCGAGGCUGCGUGGGCAGCAUCCGGUGUUCGCCUGGGGCUUUGAACAGAGAGCACAGGGCUGGGAUGAGAAGGCUUGAGUUUUCGCGUUCAUGAGGAAGCAGCACGAGUGACCAUCCUCUAUAAGGAGACUCAGGGCUGUCACCCAGAGGGAGGCUGGCGAGACGGUGUGAUGUCUGUUGCUUAGCGUCGUGGGAAGAGUGUGGGCUUUGGAGUCUGGUGGUCUUGGCUCUGGAUGCCAGUAGCUCCGCGUUUUGGUCACACACUCUUGGACUAGAGUUUCAGUUUCUUUAUUUGUAACUGGUAAAAAAUAUUUCUUUUGAAACGUAUCCGAUUUUGAUAAAUUAGAGAUUUUUGUUAAUUAUUUAAAAGUCUUUGCAGUGUUCAUUUCAGUAAUACGUCCCUCAGCGUGCACUUGUCGCCUGUGUGGGUUCUUGGAUAGAUCUGCUUGUUCCUGUCUGCAAAGGCUGGAAGGCACCAGCUUGGCUUAUCUGGGAGAGGUGGCCCUUGUGGGAUGGGGCCGUUGAAGGUCAUGGCAGCCAACAUCCAGGAAGGCCUCCAGGGAGCCUUGCUUCCCACGUUCAUGCCCUUGUGUAGGCCCUACCCCGAGUGAAGAGGGCUGACCUGCAUAACCAGUGGGAUAUACCAAAAUGAAGAGCUGCCAUAUGCCAUGCGGACACUCAAGAAGCCCAGAGUAGAGAGGUCCAUAUGGCAGGAACACAGGCCCCCUGCCAGCAGCACCCCCCUCACAGCAGCCCCCUCACCAGCCCACCAGCCAUGUGAGGCGCCAUCUUGGAACCGGAGUUUCCGGCCCCGGUCAAGCCCUCGGAUGACAGCAGCCCCGCACAACCUCUUCGGCCAUCAUUUCAGAGACCCUCUGCCCAGAACCACCCAGCUGAGUGCUCCCAGCUGACUCCCAUCAACUGAGUCUCUAA